GGAGAGGUGCCAGAGUGGUUGAUUGGGCACGCCUGGAAAGCGUGUGUACCUCGGAAGGGGUACCGGGGGUUCGAAUCCCCCCCUCUCCG
rnacentral:tRNA from 1 species